GUACUACCUCUGCUUGCAGUUGCGAGAUGACAUCGUGUCCGGAAGGCUGCCCUGCUCCUUCGUUACCCUGGCCUUGCUGGGCUCCUACACUGUCCAGUCAGAGCUCGGAGACUAUGACCCAGACGAAUGUGGGAGCGAUUACAUUAGUGAGUUCCGCUUUGCACCAAACCACACUAAAGAACUGGAAGACAAAGUGAUCGAGCUGCACAAGAGCCACAGAGGAAUGACGCCAGCAGAAGCAGAGAUGCAUUUCUUGGAAAAUGCCAAAAAAUUAUCAAUGUAUGGGGUAGAUUUACAUCAUGCUAAGCCAAACUCCAUCAUUUGAAGAAGCAAAUUUACUGAAACAAAUUGGAACUAAUCUCCGGUUAUGAGCGAGAUGCCUCGCUUCUGUUGACGGUGUGAAAGACCCUGAGCUUUACAAUCCAUUUAAAAAUUCUGAGCUGGAAUCCUGUAUGAAGAAUAAAUACCCAUAUUACACAAA
rnacentral:sRNA from 1 species